AGUCAGAGAAAUGGAGAAACCAAGUCCUGUGAUGAGUCCAGCUUCCUUGCUGCCUCAUGCACUCACAUCUUUUCUGGGCCUAGGUCUCCCUUCCCCUCAUCAUGCAGCCUUAUCCCCACCUCUCACCAUCUCUUGAGAUCCAACAUGGUCUUGGAAGCAGCUCUCAGACCUCCCUGGAAGCUCUCUCUUCACUUCAAAUUUCCUUUAAAUUUAAAUUUUAAUUUUAAUUUACCUUUAAAUUUCCCUUACCGAUCUCCUGUUUCUCUUUCCCCCUCCAUCCCUAACCUCCAUGUCCUUUCCUCAGCCAUUUCAUACCCUCUGUCCCCUCUACUCAAACACAGGUGCAUUCUUGAACGCACUGUUUUUCUCAUCUGCCACCCUCACCAGCUUUCCACUUGAAUUUACAGCCCUGUCCUGGGUCCCCACAUGCAGGCUGUUCCAGACACAGGCUGCCUGCCAGGACCUCAGAGCUCAUGGUACUUCUUCCUCACCCACAGUUUUUACCUUGUUUAGUUAUCUUGCCUCUAGUCUUCCGUCUCCCACCAUGCACUGGAAGGCUUGCACACACAUGCAAAAGACAGUAUAACACACAACAAUUUCACCUGCGCUUUUACCAGUAAUGUGUAGAAUUAGAGGUGAUAUUUUAACUAGAGAUGAUAUUUUUAAAAUUUACUCUAAUUCUGACUUUUAAAAAUCCUGAUUCACUUAGGUUCUGUAUUUGUACUAAUGGUACCAUUUUUCUUUUUCUGUGUUUCCUUUACUUGUUGGUGCAUUCGGAAUGUGUACCUUUUGCUUACUCCACAUUAGAAUGGCCUGUGGUGAAAUUAGCUUUGGAGGUGGCUUUCAAACUGAGAUCAGGUGGUAUUCAGUUGGGGAAGAUAUGGAAUGAAUUCAAACAGGAGGGGUGCGGGCGUCCAACAAGAAGACUUCUAAAUCUCUUUUUUAAAACCUGAGAUUCUCCUUAAACUGAACAGAACGUAGGAGUUUUACUUUUUCCUUUGUGUUGUUCCCUCUACAGAAGGGCAUUUGCCCCACCUAGGAGGUGCUUAAAUACUGGAAUUAGCUGAGACAGUGAAAAUAAAUAGUGCUGUUCGAGGGAGAAAGAGGACAAGGCAGCAAGGCUACUCUGGAUGGAGGUGAUCUUAUUAGGUUGUGAGAUCCCUCUGUAGGAGUCGAAUGCUUUGUGUGCAGAUCGCACACAAUCGUGUUUCUUUUGUCCAGCUUUUCCUUUCAGGCCUCAGGUUGAUCAUAGAAACAGAGGGAUCCCCACGGGUGGUUGCAGUCCCAUAGGUCUGUGUGCAUGGCCCCCUCUCCUUGACCAAAAAACUUGCUCUUCUAGCCUUCUCCAGACAGAAAGUGAUCUUUCCAGUCUAGGGUUGAGCUAGCAGAAUGUUUUCCUUCUAGUGAGUCAGAUAGCAUCCUCUUAGAAAUUUCUCCCCAUUGGCUGCAGUCUAUUCCCUGAUGCUCAGCAGAGCAAAAUCCCAUCCCUUUUCUGAGAGCCCUUUGGACAGUGGAGGACAGCCAUUAUUUCUGAUCGGGAGUUUUACCUUCAUCUGCCGGAACACUUACAGUGUUCCCAGUUCCUCAUCAAGUGAUUUCCGGUCUUUUCUAUGCUCUGGUUCCUCUCCUUUCAGUGGACUCCAUUUUGUCUAGCACAGGGUUGGAAUGGGGUGCUCUGGCCAGCUUUCUCACCCCAUCUGUCCUCCUGUUUGUUCUCUGGCCCCUGACAUGGUGCCCGUCACGUGCCCGACCUCGUGGUACAUUCUCCUUGAACAGAAUCUCCGGGCUUCUACUCCAUCCUUCACACCAUUCCUAUCCCCCAAAGCCCUCAGUUCUAGAUCCAUCUUCAUGAAAGGGGGUUUUGUUUGUUUGUUUUUGCAGCUUUCCUUGAAUUCUCCAAAUCCUCAUUGCUGUUUUAUACUUGACUUGAGUUGAUAACGAAGUUUAAGUGUCUCCGGGGCUGGUUGCUUUUUUUCCUAUUUAGCCCAGAGCCCAAUAUAGGUCUGAGAAACAGAUCUUGAGUCUGUGAUCAGGAACCAUAUCACGAAUCAACUGAUCAUCCUCCUCCUUUUGGUGGCACAUAACUCCUGUUGUCUCGGGUGUUUGUUUUGUCUUUAUGCCUUCAGUGUCUGCAUUGCUUAUGGAAAAAGAGCCCGUGAGGAAGGUUUUUAAUACAUGGAGUUUUAUGGUUUUAUUCCAAGCUCAGUCUUCCCACGUGAUUCAGUAUAGAGCUGCCACCAACAUCAAGGAGUGAGUGGAAUUUAGUAGGGAUCAGUGGGAAGCAGCUUGAGAUUGGUUUGCUGAAACUAAUAUGGGAUGCUUUCGGUUGACCCCCUGGCCAGAGUUCCCUUGCCAGGACAGCUAGAAGAGUCGAUGAGGCAAUGUGAUAUGGUGAGAAGAGCUCUCGGCUUAAACAGAUUUAGGCUUGAUCCCUAUCUCUGCCACUUAUUUCAUGGCCUGUUAACCACUGUGACCUCAGUUUCUCCGUCCAUAAAAUGGAGUUAACCUAACGUCACAACCAAGGUCUUAGAACUGGCAUGAUGGUGUAAUGAUGUCACAGGUCACAACCCACAUGGCGAGCUCUGGCCAGGGCACUGCUGUCCUUCUGCACAGUGUCUUUAUUCCAUCCCCACUGCCAGCCCUGGUUCUGGGAAAAUAAGGAGCCCAGUAACAACCCCAAUAGGCCAUUGGUUGUUUUGACAUUUUACACGAUGACGAAUUCUCUCCUGCAGGCUGUCUGGGACUUUCUAUCUAUGUCAUACGCAGCACACCGUCCUCAUGGCUGGGGAGUCCGUCAGUGCUCCUAAUCGUGCCGCUCAUGGCCCUGCACUGGGGAAGGGCAGUGAGCAUCAUUUCCUGUUCUCUCCAGAGACAGAGCAUAUAGUCUAGACACACUGGGCAGGGGGAAGGCAGGAAAGCUAAGCCCUUAGCUCCACUGACAGUUUUCCUAGUGCCUUGGACACCUUACUUGGCUAUGUGAGCCUCUGGUUCUGUUUGCAGAAAAGAGUAAUUAAUAUAUUUGAUUUCCUACCUGACUGCCAGGGUAGGAGAGAAUGAAUGAGACUGUAUCUCUCUGGAGAAAGUUACUGUUUGGACAUACAUUGUUUCCAUCAAGGUGGGGAGCGGUAAAUUGCCAGGUUCCAAAAGGCGGUGCACCUACACUGGGGAGAGUCCUGGAGGCUGGACCUUAACUCUGCUCAGAGGACGGAGACCACGCCUAUCUCUGCAGAACAGCCCCGUGUGAAUGUCUGACUUUAUGAUGCAUUUGUGCGGGUGAGGGAAUUGGGCAUGAGGCGGAGGCAAAUGGUUGCCAAUCACGGCUUCCCAUACAGAGCCUAUGUGCAAGCCCAUGACUCACGCCGCACUCACCUGGGCUCAGAGACCUCCAGGCACGGAGAGCUCUGUCUCCCCCAGAAUAUUCCCCUGAUGAAUGACGGAGGGUUUCAGCUCUGUGUCACACAGAGACACAGAGGCGCUUCUUCCUGGUGGAGCCUGACUCCCCCCCCACCCCCCCACCCCCAGGCGUGCACUCUGCUCUUGGCCCUCCUCCCUCCAAGGCUCCGGCCCAGCUGUGUCCUUCCUUGCCAUGCCCCGCAUCUCCCACAAGGGGGAGCCCCCGGAGGGCAGUGGAAUUUUGGAAGCUGAAGUUUUCUCCUCCUGUCCUCUGAUUUUCGCGCUUGACCCAACUGUGAGAUUUCUUUGUUGCAAUGUUGGGGUCUGAAAUAACACUUCUGGAGGCUGCAGCCGAGCACCACAGCUGAUGCCAUCUUGUAUUGUUUGUUAUUAAUUACCUAGCAUGAUCCACAAAGAAGGAAAAGUAACAAAGAGCUUGAAGACUUUACUGGCUCCCAGGCCCUGGAUGGAGGCAGGCGGCCUCAGACAGGCAGAACCAAGGAGGUGCCCGUGACUGCACAGCCCAGCCCCAUCAGCAGAGACAAAUAAUGACUCCUGAAACAUUUCAGAAUCAAAAAGUUAAAACGGUGUUUCAGUGAUGCUACAUCUUGCCAGACGCGGGCUAAUGGUUUGAAGAUAUUGGCCUAGCAAGAUGGCAACGAGCUUAAAAAAUAGGAUUCCCAAGAAGUUACUUUUCUCAGACAUCUCAAACCCCCAAACGAGAGAAGAUACUGAGGCCUGUUGCCACAAACCCGUAGAUCCGAACUUGUGGUGAUAGUCCACACAAGCUUGUGUCUAUAGGUAUGUGUCUGUUAGGCAAUCUCACAGACCGCGGGUUUUGCCUGUAUGCCUACCCAAUCCCCCUUCCCAUCCCUUUCAUGUCCUGUCUUCCCCUUAGAGUCCUUUAAGAGUGGUAGAAAUGGAAGGAAGGGCUGGUACGGGAGAAAGGAUUCCUUUUGCUCUGAGAUGGCUGGGACUCUCCAGUCAUUAAUUUAUAAGCUCGCCCUCAAUUCCCUUCGCUCUUCAACUAUUCUCAGCUCUCAGAUUGAGAGAUGGGGCUCACGGGUGAGGCAGCAAGGACUUUGGGGGCCUCGGCUUACUAUUGAGGGAUGAAUAAAUAGAUACCUAACCAAGGGUCUGUUUUGUUUCCUGUGGGCCUAAUUGUUUUGAAAGUUACUGUGAUCGUUUUUGGAAAACGAAGCUCCCGCCCUAGACCCAUCUCACCCUGGCUUGACUCGUACCUUGCGGCCAUUCUUUCUCCCUCAUUGUUCUCGAAUCCAUCCUUAUCUUUUAAAAUAAAAUGAACCAGGGGAAUGGAUGCGCUGAAGUCUUUAUACUUCUGUGCAUAGCCAGCACUGUAAGAAAAAGAACUUUUUUAUAAAAAAGAGAUAGCCUGUUGAGGUCUAACUUCAUAGUUGGCUAGAGUUGUAAGUCUUCACAUGUUUAAGAGGCUGGAAUGAAAAUAAUUUUAUCCCCUUGCCUCUUAAAUGUCACCAUUGUGCCAGGAUUGGAAAGCCAAACUGACUGCAGAUCAAAGCAAAAGUGGCUAUAUUUGUCUCAUUCCAACAAUGUGAGCUGAGGAGUCUGUAAACAGAACCCAGGGUGAAAAGUUGAUCAGAUUUGGAUGACUCUUAAACUCUUGCAUUCCCUUCUGGUCAAACAUGGUGCCAGGAAUUCCCUUUUAGAUUGUUUUAUUUUGUUUUGUUUUGUUUUUGUGUGUGUAUGUGCAGACUCUUGUAACCAGAAGGGUCAAUAUAAAGCAGUUACUGAGUUACCAGUGGCAAAAAGUUUGAAAUGCGCAUGAUAACAUUUUAUUUCAUUAAAAGCUCUUUUCUCUUCAGAGCCACACUACUCUGGGAUGGGAGAAUUCUUUUCUUCUAUUACGUACAUAAAAAUGAAAUGUUGUCUGUUGAAAUUGGGAAGGUGUAGGUACAGAUCCCAUAUGUUUAAGGAGGAGAAUGGAAUGUUCUGCAAACGCUCCACAUGGAGGAUAUGGUGUACAUACAUUUCCUUUGUGUUUGCUUGGCAUAGCAUCGAGGAAGGCUGUAGACCUCAGCUGCCAGCUUGCCGAGAAGUCAUUACUUCAUUAUGGAAUGAUAGAACAUGACAUCCAGAAGAGAAAGAUUGUCCUCAUUGGCAUGUAUCAUGUAUAAUUGUUUGCCCAAGGCCUUGAUCCACCCACUAAGCCAACAAUCUGCUUGGUUGGUUUUACCUGCCUCUUUGAUGUGGUGAACUUAGAAUGGAUAAGCUGCUAGCAAAUUAAACUUGUACUUUCCCUGGAUAAACACUUAUCUUUGAUAAAGGCAAAAUCUUGUCUCUACUCAUCAUCCCUUUAACCUGCCAUUAAAAUGUAUUACCAGUGGGACCAAUGGAGUUCAUGAAUCCAAGGAGACGUUGGGUUGCCUAUAGUCCCCAUACAAAGACACCAGAAAGACUACAGGUUGGCCGUGAGGUGGCUGCCAGGUUGUUUUUUUGAAGGAGGUUUUUAAGACCCAUUACCCCAAGAAAAAAAGAUUAUGGGGAGCAAUCUUUUCAAGGUUUCUAAAAGACCUAAGAUAUUAUUAUUUGAUUCAUCUGACUAGAAAAUAUUCUAGUGGAAAACCCAAAGCCCCUGGGCCCUGGCCACAAGAAACAGGAUAUUAAAUAUUUUACAUGAUGAUGCAAUUCAGUAUUUUUCCCCUCCUUCCAGGUCCAUGAAUGAAUGCUUCUGUAGAUAUUAAUUAUUCCUUUGGGGCUCCCUCAGAGUGGACCAAAUAUUCUACAGGAAGCUGCAGAAAGUAAAAUAAUUUCAGGUCUUCCCCAGAAAGACUCUAAAAAUAUAUUUCAGUAGUCUGUGUUGCAUGGAGGUAUACAGAGAAUGAGUAUAAAACAAAGUAGUUUUAUUAAAAUCCUCAAAUUAUCAGUACCAAAAUACAUUUAUGAAGCUAUAGCACCAGGAUAUUGUGUGUGUGUGUGCGUGUGCGUGUGCGUGUGUGUGUAUAUCUGUGUGUGUGUGUAUGU